AAGUCGUAACAAGGUUUCCGUAGGUGAACCUGCGGAAGGAUCAUUACCGGGUUAAGGGGGGGAAACCCCCAACCAUCCAACCCUGACUUACUAUCCACGUUGCUUCGGGGGGCCGUCAAGGCCCCCCGGAGGUCGAAUCAAACUAUAUUUCUACAGUCGUCAGAGCGAAUGCGAAAAUAAGUAAAAA
rnacentral:misc_RNA from 1 species